AGAACUGGUAAUCCGAUGAGUGGAAUGACGGAGUAACGCCCUGAAACGCUCACUCUGAUACUCCGACUUGCCGUGAAAGAAGAAAUUCAGACGGUAAGAAGCUCGGUGAAGUCGGCCGAAAGCAACCGUAAGGCGAAAGCUACGAAACCCGUUCGGAGGCGAACGGCGUUGCCGACAGGUCGGGAGUCUAUAAA
rnacentral:ncRNA from 1 species